GACGAACGCUGGCGGCGUGCUUAACACAUGCAAGUCGAACGGUGAUCCCCUGCUUUCGGGGGGGGUUCGUGGCGAGCGGGUGUGUAUUACACGAGAAUAAUCCCCUUGUCUCUGGGGUAAGACUGGGAAAACGGGUGUAAUACUCCAUACAGCUUCUUGCCGCGUGGUGUGGGGUGUGAAGAGUUUAGGGGGUUUGGGAUGGACUCACGGCUUAUCAGCUUGUUGGUGGGGUAGUGGCUUACCAAGGCAUGGACGGGUAGCCGGCCUGAGAGGGUGACCGGCAAACUGGGGCCUGGAAACGGCCCAGACUCCUACGGGGGGGCACAGGGGGGAAUAUUGCACCAUGGGCGGGAGCCCGGAGGAGCGACGGCGGGGGGGGGAUUACGGCCUUUGGGGUGUAAACCCGUUUUAGCAGGGAAGAAGCCACGAGUGACGGUACCGGCAGAAGAAGCGCCGGCUAACUACGUG
rnacentral:rRNA from 1 species